rnacentral:rRNA from 1 species
GAUGAACGCUGGCGGCGUGCUUAACACAUGCAAGUCGAACGGUGAACGAGGGAGCUUGCUCCCUCCGGAUCAGUGGCGAACGGGUGAGUAACACGUGAGCAAUCUGCCCUGGACUCUGGGAUAAGCGUUGGAAACGACGUCUAAUACCGGAUACGAGACGCGAAGGCAUCUUCAGCGUCUGGAAGGAACUUCGGUCCGGGAUGAGCUCGCGGCCUAUCAGGUAGUUGGUGAGGUAACGGCUCACCAAGCCUACGACGGGUAGCCGGCCUGAGAGGUUGACCGGCCACAAGGGGACUGGGACACGGCCCAGACUCAUGCGGGAGGCAGCAGUGGGGAAUAUUGCACAAUGGGCGCAAGCCGGAUGCAGCAACGCCGCGUGAGGGACGACGGCCUUCGGGUUGUAAACCUCUUUUAGCAGGGAAGAAGCGAAAGUGACGGUACCUGCAGAAAAAGCACCGGCUAACUACGUGCCAGCCGCCGCCGUAACAC